GCCCCAACCCCAGCCCCUGUUAUGUGUAUUCUUAGUGAUUGCCAUUCUCACUGGAGUGAGAUGAAAUCUCAGUGUAAUUUUGAUUUGCAUUUUCCUCAUGUCCAGAGAUGUUGAAUGUUUUUUCCAUAUAAUUUGUACUUCUUUUGUCCAUGUAUCGAAUGGGUUAUUUGUUUGUUUGGUACCGGGGAUUGAACUCAGGGGCACUUGACCGCUGAGUCAUAUUUCCAGCCCUUUUUUGUAUUCUAUUUAGAGAUAGGGUCUCACUGAGUCACUGAGUGCCUCGAUUUUACUGAGACUGGCUUUGAACUUGUGAGCCUCCUGCCGCAGCCUCCUAAGCUGCCACUGCAUCCGGCUUUUUGUUUUUUGGUGUUAAGUUCUUUAAAAUUUAACUUAUAUUCUAAGAUCUUUUUAUAAGCACUUUUUGUAUUUAUAUUUUAUAUUCUAGAUGUUAAUCCUCUGUUGGAAGUGUAGCUGGCAGGUUUUCUCCCACUUUUCUCUUUGCAUAUUAAUUGUUGUCUUUAUUAUGCAGAAGCUUUUUUUUUCCUUUAGUUUGAUGCCAUCCCACUUUCACCAAUUUUCAUCCAUUUUUUACUUUUUUAAAAAAAUAUUUAUUUAGUUGUAGAUGAACACACAGUAUCUAUUUAUUUUUUAUGUAGUGCUGAUGAUUGAACCCAGUGCCUCACAUAUGCGAGGCAAGCACUUUACCACUGAGCUACAGUCUCAGCCCCCCAUUUUUGACUUGUAUUAAGUUUGUAUAACUUCCAGGAAAUUUGCUCUACCCUGCUGCAUGUACAAUUUAAAUCUCUCCCAUUCCCCAUGUCAUUCUUUUAUCUUGAAGCUUCCUGCGUAUUCUGUAAAGGAGAGUGUGGUAGAAAUCACAGCUCUAGUAAGGUGUCUCUCUGGUUUACUGUUUAUGGAACAGAUUCUGUCAGGCACCCUCAAGCAAUGGGGUGUGGCAGGUUGGGUUUUCCCAGAAACAAAUUCUGAGACAGGAUUAAUGAACAAAAUGUUCAUUUGGGAGUUCCCCUAUAUGAACUUUUUCAGAAGGGGAGGAAGGAAGCGGGAUGGAGCAGAGGGAGAAAUUAAGCUGCAAUGUGAUGUCCAUGUGGACUUAAUAACUAUCAUAGUUCCUCAGACACCCCAAGGAGCCUCUGAAACUACAGAUGCCCCAAGAUGGGCUGAGAUGGCCAUUGAAAGGGCAAGGUAACUGCACCAGUUGCUGCUGAAGGUGCUGACCUGGAGGCUGUUUGCUGGCAACUCUGCGGUCUGCUUCCUCUGUGAGUAUGGCCACUGUCUCCUGGGCUCUACUUGCAUGAUCCAUACCAUGCUCUUCUGACCAGGUUCUGGAGGAGUCAAUCAUGAUGACUUAGGUGUGUGAUUCCCAGACUGUUCCACGGAACCUAGAUUUGGAGCAACAAAUAUGUCCUUCAAAGGUUAUAUUUGCUUUGGACCAGACCCUCCUGCAGCAGAAGAGCCUGUGAGCAGGCAGCCUAGGACAGGCCUUUUGCUGUGGACCAUCAAGUGGAGCCAAGUGACUUGUCAGAUCUCAGAUGACCUCUAUCAUGAACCAUCUCAUUAUACUCUAUAACUGUGGCGACCUCAGCUCUGUCAUCUUCAGCCAUAGCAGCUCCCAGUUACAGGGUGAAGCUUCAGAAGGUUCAGCAGCAGGCCCCAUGAAUCAGCUGUCAGGGAGAGGAAGGGAUCCAAAUCCAUUGGCCUCUUGAUCGACUUGACACUUUUGAGAAAUGAUGGAGCAAAACUUGUGAUCCUCCUGUCUGAGUGUCUGGAGGAGCUGGUAUUACAGAAAAGGUGUUAAACACUGACCUAGUCACCUGACUGGCUGACAUUGGAAUGUACAUGUUGAAGAGCCAUGGUCCUAAGAUGCAAGGAAUUAUUUAUUACCUGGAACUCUGGUCCAGACAGAAGAAACAAGCUCUUGGACAAUUUCAUCAUUGCUUUUUCCUUGUCCACCAGCAGAUGAUCUUGGCUGAACAUCAAGUAUGGAAAGUGGAAGUUCUCCAGCAGAAUGACAGACCCAGCAGCUGGCCAGUACAGCGUCCUUCCAUUUCUGGGCCCAUAUGGUUUUUCAAGAACAGAACAGCUUUGCUCAGCAGAAAUUUGAAUUCUAUGGCAACUGGCUCUAAAGAUUACUUGUCAGGAAAGAUGGUGGAAUGAGAUGUACAUUAUUACACUAGGUAUAUGUAUGACUGCACAUAUGGUACAACAUUAUAUCUUGUACAAUCAGAGAAAUGAAAAGUUGUGCUGUAAUUGUGUACAAUGAGUCAAAGUGCAUUCUGCUGUCAUAUAUACCUAGUUAAAAUAAAUAAAUAAAGUUUUAAAAAGAUUACUUGUCAGGAAGAUAAGUAAAAGAAAAGAUAGUAGAAUGAAUCUGACAUAGUUUUCCCAUGUAUCUAUAUGAAAACAACACAGUGAAUCCCACCACCAUGUAUAUCCAUAAGAAUGGGACUCUUAACAAGAAUAAGAUAUAAUCCAUGCUUGCAUAAUAUAUCAAAAUGGAUUCUGCUGUCAUAUAUAACUAAAAAAGAACCAAUAAAAAUUUAUAAAAUAAAAAAAUGUUAAAAAAAAUUAUUGUAUUAAAACAAACAAAAGAUUACUUGUCAGGCAUGAGGAUACUGUCAGGAUGCCUUAGGUGACUCAUAAAUACAGCUGACUUGUCUCCAAUGUCCAAGUAUUAACUGGAUGUUUGAGACAGCAACCUUGAUUUUCUGGUUGGUUGUUAUCUGACUGUUAUUCAUAGGGACAUUAUAAUUCAUUCUCAUAACAACUUACUUCCCCUUCACAUUCACCUUGUUCAGAGUCAGCUAUAAGAAAGUGACAUUUUGGCAAUAUAAUGCAAAACUGGGGCUCAGACAGCAGGAACGACAGCUACCAACAUAUGCUCUGAAUGUGUAGAACAAUCUCCUUCCCUGACCAUUCCCAGCUCUUUAUUAGUUUCUGAUAGGCAUCUAUGUAACUUGCUGGGUAGAAGAAAUAAUUUAUAAAUUUUGUGCCAAGACUUUAUUGAUUGCAACAGGCAGAAUUACCUAACCUAAUGUGAGUCUCAGAUGAAUGGUAGCAGAAUAUGCUACUCCAAAAUAAGCCACUUUGACCUAAGGAUUGCCAUAAACUAAAGGCCACUUGGAAAAUAGCAGAUGGAAGGACGUUCUAAUCUCCCCUUUUCUUUCUGAAAACAAAACAGAAGACCUCCUUAUAUGAAAGAUAUCCUCCCUGUACCAGGAGAAAAGAAACAUUCUCAUUGUCAAGAGCUUGUUAUAUAAACAGACCUUGACCAUACUAAUCUUCUUUAGCCACCCAACAUAAUUAAGGUACUUUCCUAUAAUUAAUUGCCUCUCUUUGUUCAACCUAACACAUAGCCAUAUAGGUUUUACCAGUUCUUUGGGGCUUCCUUAAUGAAAUGAAAGCUUAUAUUAAAUUGUAAGUUUUUCUCCUGUUAAUCUAUAUUAUAUCAAUUUAAUUCUUAGACCCUAAGAGUGUAGAAAUAAAAUUUUGCCUCCCCUAUACAGGCAUGAAUGGAUCUAACAACACUCUCUCUUGCUCAUGCUUUAACUGUUUCCUCUCUAAAGGGCUCUCAGAAUUCUUUCCUAAUGAAUAUGGGCUUCUUGCAUGUGGUUGAUAGGAAGAGAUGAAGUAUAAGGGACAAGGUCACAGAUGGCUGCAGAGAUAUAGCAUCUAGCCAAUGAUUCUAGAGAAAAGAGAGCACCCUCCUGCCAACCUGUAUCUGUGUAUGUUGUCUCAGGAAAAGACUGUCAUUCACCUAGCUUGGUUGUAUGUGUACACCUUGGAUGAGCUAGAGUGGCUAAGGGAUGGGGCACUCACUGCCUUUGUCCAGGCCUGUGUCACAUAUCCACCUCUGUUCAGGUAGAGAGUGGUUGGAAGUCUUAUCAGGAGUUUGUGCAAUGGGGAAGGGGCAGUUGCUCCAAAGAAAGAGGUUAGGGUGGGGCAUGUAUUAAUCCAGAAAAAUGGAGGAAGGGAGGCUGCAUAGAAAAACACCCCUGGAAGCCCACUAUAUACCUUCUCUCUCAGUCAUUCUGAAACCAAUGGAAAACACAAAAAUCUACAUUUCUGGUACACUCUUCCAAGAGUUUUACCCCUACCAACAGUGCUAUCUUUCUGCUGUUAGCGUAACCAUAUCCACGCUCACUUUUUCCUUCUUAUACCCUCCCUUUUUUUUUUAAUUUUUUAUUGUUGGCUGUUCAAAACAUUACAUAGUUCUUGAUAUAUCAUAUUUCACAAUUUGAUUCAAGUGGGUUAUGAGCUCCCAUUUUUACCCCAUAUACAGAUUGCAGGAUCACAUCAGUUACACAUCCAUUGAUUUACAUAUUGCCAUACUAGUGUCUGUUGUAUUCUGCUGCCUUUCCUAUCCUCUACUAUCCCCCUCCCCUCCCCUCUUCUCUCUCUGCUCCCUCUACUGACAUUCGUUUGUCCCCCUUAUAUUAUUUUUCCCUUUCCCCUCACUUCCUCUUGUAUGUACUUUUGUAUAACUCUGAGGGUCUCCUUCCAUUUCCAUGCAUUUUCCCUUCUCUCUCCCUUUCCCUCCCACCUCUCAUCCCUGUUUAAUGUUAAUCUUCUUCUCAUGCUCUUCGACCCUACUCUGUUCUUAGUUACUCUCCUUAUAUCAAAGAAGACAUUUGGCAUUUGUUUUUUAGGGAUUGGCUAGCUUCACUUAGCAUAAUCUGCUCUAAUGCCAUCCAUUUCCCUGUAAAUUCUAUGAGUUUGUCAUUUUUUAAUGCAGAGUAAUACUCCAUUGUGUAUAAAUGCCACAUUUUUUUUAUCCAUUCAUCCAUUGAAGGGCAUCUAGGUUGGUUCCACAGUCUAGCUAUUGUGAAUUGUGCUGCU